rnacentral:rRNA from 1 species
UACGAAGGGGGCUAGCGUUGUUCGGAAUUACUGGGCGUAAAGCGCACGUAGGCGGUCUUUUAAGUCGGGGGUGAAAUCCUGGAGCUCAACUCCAGAACUGCCUUCGAUACUGGAAGACUUGAGUCCGGGAGAGGUGAGUGGAACUGCGAGUGUAGAGGUGAAAUUCGUAGAUAUUCGCAAGAACACCAGCGGCGAAGGCGGCUCACUGGCCCGGUACUGACGCUGAGGUGCGAAAGCGUGGGGAGCAAACAGG